AUUGAACGCUGGCGGCAGGCCUAACCCAUGCAAGUCGAGCGCGCGGCGGACGGGUGAGUAAUGUAUGGGGACUGCCCGAUAGAGGGGGAUAACUACUGGAAACGGUGGCUAAUACCGCAUACUAUCGGAUAACCCAGAUGGGAUUAGCUUGUAGGUGAGGUAACGGCUCACCUAGGCGACGAUCACUAGCUGGGCUGAGAGGAUGAACAGCCACACUGGGACUGAGACACGGGCCAGACGCCUACGGAGGCAGCAGUGGGGAAUAUUGCACAAUGGGCGCAAGCCUGAUGCAGCCAUGCCGCGUGUAUGAAGAAGGCCUUCGGGUUGUAAAGUACUUUCAGUCGGGAGGCGUUACCGACAGAAGAAGCACCGGCUAACUCCGUGCCAGCAGCCGCGGUAAUAC
rnacentral:rRNA from 1 species